AGGUUACUGCUAUCGGUGUUCGCCUAAGCCAUGCGAGUCAUAUGUUCUUCGUGAACAUGGCGUACUGCUCAGUAACACGUGGAUAACCUGCCCUUGGGUCCGGCAUAACCCCGGGAAACUGGGGAUAAUUCCGGAUAACGCACAUAUGCUGGAAUGCUUUAUGCGUCAAAUGGAUUCGUCCGCCCAAGGAUGGGUCUACGGCCUAUCAGGUAGUAGUGGGUGUAAUGUACCUACUAGCCUACGACGGGUACGGGUUGUGAGAGCAAGAGCCCGGAGAUGGAUUCUGAGACAUGAAUCCAGGCCCUACGGGGCGCAGCAGGCGCGAAAACUUUACAAUGCGGGAAACCGUGAUAAGGGGACACCGAGUGCCAGCAUCAUAUGCUGGCUGUCCGGGUGUGUAAAAUACACCUGUUAGCAAGGGCCGGGCAAGACCGGUGCCAGCCGCCGCGGUAACACCGGCGGCCCGAGUGGUGAUCGUGAUUAUUGGGUCUAAAGGGUCCGUAGCCGGUUUGGUCAGUCCUCCGGGAAAUCUGACGGCUUAACCGUUAGGCUUUCGGGGGAUACUGCCAGACUUGGAACCGGGAGAGGUAAGAGGUACUACAGGGGUAGGAGUGAAAUCUUGUAAUCCCUGUGGGACCACCUGUGGCGAAGGCGUCUUACCAGAACGGGUUCGACGGUGAGGGACGAAAGCUGGGGGCACGAACCGGAUUAGAUACCCGGGUAGUCCCAGCCGUAAACGAUGCUCGCUAGGUGUCAGGCAUGGCGCGACCGUGUCUGGUGCCGCAGGGAAGCCGUGAAGCGAGCCACCUGGGAAGUACGGCCGCAAGGCUGAAACUUAA
rnacentral:rRNA from 1 species